rnacentral:rRNA from 1 species
UAAGGAAUAUUGGUCAAUGGACGCAAGUCUGAACCAGCCAUGCCGCGUGAAGGAUGAAGGUCCUCUGGAUUGUAAACUUCUUUUAUCUGGGACGAAAACGGGAUUUUUAUCUCAAUUGACGGUACCAGAGGAAUAAGCACCGGCUAACUCCGUGCCAGCAGCCGCGGUAAUACGGAGGGUGCGAGCGUUAUCCGGAUUUACUGGGUUUAAAGGGUGCGUAGGUGGGCUUAUAAGUCAGUGGUGAAAUCUCCGAGCUUAACUUGGAAACUGCCGUUGAUACUAUAUGUCUUGAAUUAUCUGGAGGUAAGCGGAAUAUGUCAUGUAGCGGUGAAAUGCUUAGAUAUGACAUAGAACACCAAUUGCGAAGGCAGCUUACUACAUAUAAAUUGACGCUGAGGCACGAAAGCGUGGGGAUCAAACA